GAUGAACGCUAGCGGCAGGCUUAACACAUGCAAGUCGAGGGGUAUAGGUUUUCGGACCUAGAGACCGGCGCACGGGUGCGUAACGCGUAUGCAAUCUACCUUUCACAGAGGGAUAGCCCAGAGAAAUUUGGAUUAAUACCUCAUAGUAUAAUGACUCGGCAUCGAGUUAUUAUUAAAGUCACAACGGUGAAAGAUGAGCAUGCGUCCCAUUAGUUAGUUGGUAAGGUAACGGCUUACCAAGACUACGAUGGGUAGGGGUCCUGAGAGGGAGAUCCCCCACACUGGUACUGAGACACGGACCAGACUCCUACGGGAGGCAGCAGUGAGGAAUAUUGGACAAUGGGCGCAAGCCUGAUCCAGCCAUGCCGCGUGCAGGAUGACGGUCCUAUGGAUUGUAAACUGCUUUUAUACGAGAAGAAACACUACUUCGUGAAGUAGCUUGACGGUAUCGUAAGAAUAAGGAUCGGCUAACUCCGUGCCAGCCGCCGCG
rnacentral:rRNA from 1 species